UACGUAGGGACCGAGCGUUGUCCGGAAUCAUUGGGCGUAAAGCGCGUGUAGGCGGCUUGGUAGGUUUCGUGUUAAAUCCCUCGGCUCAACCGAGGAAUCGCACGGAAAACCACCUCGCUAGAGUCCGGAAGAGGGAUGCGGAAUUCCAGGUGGAGCGGUGAAAUGCGUAGAGAUCUGGAAGAACACCAAAGGCGAAGGCAGCAUUCUGGCUCGGACCUGACGCUCAUGUGCGAAAGCU
rnacentral:rRNA from 1 species